rnacentral:rRNA from 1 species
CAGCCGCCACGGUAAUACGAAGGGGGCUAGCGUUGUUCGGAUUUACUGGGCGUAAAGCGCACGUAGGCGGACUUUUAAGUCAGGGGUGAAAUCCCGGGGCUCAACCCCGGAACUGCCUUUGAUACUGGGAGUCUUGAGUUCGAGAGAGGUGAGUGGAAUUGCGAGUGUAGAGGUGAAAUUCGUAGAUAUUCGCAGGAACACCAGUGGCGAAGGCGGCCCACUGGCUCGAUACUGACACUGAGGUGCGAAAGCGUGGGGAGCAAACAGGAUUAGAUACCCCAGUAGUCCCUGUCUCUUAUAC